rnacentral:rRNA from 1 species
UCUCAAAGAUUAAGCCAUGCAUGUCUAAGUAUAAGCAAUCUAUACGGUGAAACUGCGAAUGGCUCAUUAAAUCAGUUAUCGUUUAUUUGAUAGUACCUUACUACAUGGNNNNCCGUGGUAAUUCUAGAGCUAAUACAUGCUAAAAACCCCGACUUCGGAAGGGGUGUAUUUAUUAGAUAAAAAACCAGCGCCCUCCGGGGCUCCUUGGUGAUUCAURAUAACUCAACGAAUCGCAUGGCCUUGCGCCGGCGAUGGUUCAUUCAAAUUUCUGCCCUAUCAACUUUCGAUGGUAGGAUAGUGGCCUACCAUGGUAUCAACGGGUAACGGGGAAUUAGGGUUCUAUUCCGGAGAGGGAGCCUGAGAAACGGCUACCACAUCCAAGGAAGGCAGCAGGCGCGCAAAUUACCCAAUCCCGACACGGGGAGGUAGUGACAAUAAAUACUGAUACAGGGCUCUUUCGGGUCUUGUAAUUGGAAUGAGUACAAUUUAAAUCCCUUAACGAGGAACAAUUGGAGGGCAAGUCUGGUGCCAGCAGCCGCGGUAAUUCCAGCUCCAAUAGCGUAUAUUAAAGUUGUUGCAGUUAAAAAGCUCGUAGUUGAACCUUGGGCCUGGCUGGCCGGUCCGCCUCACCGCGUGUACUGGUCCGGCCGGGCCUUUCCUUCUGGGGAGCCGCAUGCCCUUCGCUGGGCGUGCCGGGGAACCAGGACUUUUACUUUGAAAAAAUUAGAGUGUUCAAAGCAGGCCUUUGCUCGAAUACAUUAGCAUGGAAUAAUGGAAUAGGA